GUUCAAUUCUGACCAGCUUUUGAAAUAAUGUCUUUGUUAUUUUGACCUUUUUAAUUAACUUAUAAUUUCCUAUUGAUUAGAUUCCACAAUAGUGUUUCCAGUCAUUUUAUCUACACAAUCAAUCCUGUGAUUAAUGGACUGAUCAAUAAGUUAAUCAACUAAUCAACUUACCAUGUUAGUGUAACAAUUUUUCUUUCUUCACCUUCCUUGCUAAACCUACUUUCAACCUCAAAUUUACAUGAUUUUACCUCUUAUUUACUGGUUUUUUUUCUUUAUCAAUGUGUCACUAUUUAUUUAUUUGUCUACUUUUCUUGCCAUUUCACCAUUUUAACUGCUGUAUCGCACCAUCAGCUUUAUUAUCACAAGAAACAAACACGUAUCAGAUACAAUCACACGAUCAUAUCAUCUUCCUUGAUGGUGUCCAUGGUUAAAUGUUUCAAUUGAAAACUGGUAUUGUUGAAAAUAGGAUUACUUAGAAGCGAUAAACAUUUGGAACAUUGGAUUCGACUUUAGGAAGCAUUUACCUUAAACGUGAAAGAUUCAACAAUAUUGACGAAUUAACACGAUAGUAAACUUUAAUUGUGCCAUCUUGAGAGUUCCAGAAAUAAUCUCGUUAGCCUCUCUAAUUAGCAGAUAAAUCUUGGACUACCAGUGAUUAAAGACGGAGAGGAACCACAAUCAUUGGUAUCAUCGUGAAGAUCAGAUUUAAUAAACAAUUCCAGCAAUACCCGGAUCUGUCAUUUUAUGAUUGAAAGAAGACAAUUUGCCAUUUCAUUCCGAUGAAAAUCACUGUGAUAGCACUUAAAAUCUGAUAAACAUAUCGAUGGAUUUGAUUCACAGAAUAAUCAAACGUCGUUCUUUUGGCAAAACUUUCCGUUUUCUUGAUCUCCAUUUUGAUCAGUAACUUGAUUUUACUUUCACAAUCAAUCGCUAAGAGUUAAUUAACUGAACAUUUGCGGGUGAUAUGAUAACUAUUACAAUUGAUUAUGGAGACAAGGUUUCAAUUGAUUUAAGGAUAAAGCUUGGAAAAAUAAAUUCCUUGGGAAAUAAAAAUUACGACUGUAACCAAAUAAUCUUUUGUUAACCGAAGGAGAAACAAACGGAAAGCAGAUAAAAAAUUAGAGAAAUAAUCUAAACCAAUCAACUAAUUUACUAAUUAUUCCAUUUAAUUAAGCCUUAGUUUUGCCUUGCUUGGUUAAACACAGUCUUAUGAACAUUUUUUUCUUACCUCGAUCUUUAUCUUGCUCUUUCCACAAACUGAUUCGUAUAUGAACCAGGUAAUAUCUGAUAAACUUUUAAUCAAAAUUAUUAAUCAAUUUAC